CGUCUGCAUUUACGACAACGUCAACAACAGCCAGGACUUCCUCACCGCCAUCUUCGACCACUAAACUUUGUAAGUGUUUAUGCGUGUGCGUGAGUCUCUCUCUCUCUCUCUCUAUAUAUAUAUAUACAUAUAUAUAUAUAUAUACACACACACAUACAUGUCUAUGUGUGUAUGAGAGCGUAUAUAUAUAUAUAUAUAUAUAUAUAUAUAUAUUAUAUAUAUAUAUAUAUAUAUAUUUAUACGCACAGUGAUGUGUGUGUAAGUUUAUAUAUGUGCGUGCGUGUAUCGAUGUGUUUGUGUGUGUAUGUUGUUGCUGUUAUUACCGUUGGUGCAAUGAUCGAAGGAGCUUUCCAGGCGUGACUGUCCCCGUUUUGUUUUUCUUUUUAUCGCAUAUAACAUCACCACCACCACAACAACAACUAUACUACUAUUACUACUACUACGGCCGCUGCCACUGCCGCCUGUAUUAAGGAUCUCAUCCGUAAGGUGUGUGUGUGUGUGUGUAUGUGAGAGAGGGAAAGUGGUAGUGGUGGUGGUGGGUGAUUUGGUUGCUAUUUCUAGCCGACCCCCUCGACCACUUAGAGCGACUUCCUUGCUCACUGCUCCAUCUUAUAUGUGAGCGCGCGUGAGAGUGAGAGAGAGAGAGAGAGCUUAUACGUCCGAGCGUGCAUUUCUGAGUAUGUAUGUGUAAGGCUGCAAGCGUGUAUAUAUAUAUAUUUAUAUAUGUAUGUAUGUGUAUAUAUGUAUGUAUGUAUGUAUGUAAGUGGUAUUGAUGAUGGCGGCGUCAGGGAGAACGUGGCCAUCACCGCUAAAACAGCAACGGCCAGACACAUAUGUCAGUUCAGCUCAGAUUCAGUUGUCCUUCAACACACCAGUGGCACUUCCUUUGGAGCAGCAAACGAGACCACAUCUCUUCUUUUACAGUUACUGCAAUCUCUUUGUAGGUUUUGAGCAUAAAAAGCGUCGCCAAUCAGGAUACCUUAGUGCUACCUUUGUGAAUGUCCAAGAUAUAGAUAUGCCCGACUUAUCUGUAAGUUAACACUAAAAUAUUUGACUCUUUUCUGUGCCAAUCCAUAUGUGGCUAACACUUCUUUAGUCUCUGGUACAAAAAAAAAAAAAAAUUUUAUAUCUGAAGUCUUUCCUAUUUCAAUUUUUAAAAAAAUGUACCUUAAAUUUCUGAAUUUAUUUUAGUUAUAUUUUGUUCAAAAUAUCAUCUUAAUACACAGAUAUAUGCCAAUCCAUAUGUGGCCAACACUUCUUCAGCCUCUUGUAUAAAAAAAAAAAUUAUCAUUUUAUAUCUAAAGUGUAUCCAAUUUCAAUUUUUAAAAAAAUGUACCUUAAAUUUCUGAAUUUAUUUUAGUCAUGUUUUGUUCAAAAUAUCAUCUUAACACACAGAUAUAUGCCAAUCCAUAUGUGGCCAACACUUCUUUGAAAAGAAUUUGAAUUAAUCAUGCCUUAUGUUGUUGUUUUGAGAUUUCAAUGUUGUGACCACUUUUGUGUUGAAUGACAUUUUUCGGUAUAGGUGAGAGGCCAAAUUUGGCCAGUUGGAACAUCAAACAGGUAUAAACCCUCAUAUCAGAUAUGGCACGUUUAAAUACUAAAAGAUUAUCUUGAUUAUUUAACCAAUCGACUAGUUAUAAAGGAGUGGAAUUGAACCAGUGUGUGUGUGUGUUAUUAAUGUUGGCAUGACUCUCCCAACACAAAACAACAUACAUAAGUGCAUGUGUGUGUGUGUGUGUGUAUUGUGGAGGUGCAAUGGCCCAGUGGUUAGGGCAACGGUCAUGCAGUUGUAGGAUUUUGGUUUCGAUUCCCAGACCAGGUGUUGUGAGCGUUUAUUGAGCGAAAACACUUAAAGCUCUACAAGGCUCUGGCAGGUGGGUGGUGGGGUGCUACACUCUGAGUGGUUGGCAUUAGGAAGGGCAUCCAGCUGUAGAAACUCUGCCAGAUCAGAUUAGAGCCUGGUGCAGCCAUCUGGUUUCACCAGUCCCCAGUCAAAUCGUCCAACCCAUGCCAGCAUGGAAAGCGGACGUUAAACGAUGAUAUAUAUAUA